CCAGCUGAAAAAGAAACACACACACAAAAUAUUAAUAUAUUAAUCUAUAAAUACUUUUGUUUAUUGGCUUAAAACCUAAAAUUACAUUGAAACGAAGGAUCAUUGUAUUUGAGGAUUAGCACGUAAUUCUAUUUGUGUGCGGGUACACAGAUGGUGGGCAAGGGGAAGGAAGGGUAUGGGUCCUGUAUUGUAUCCUAAUAAGGUGAAAUUGUGAUGCUUUUGCGGUUUGAUUGCGGGCGUUACUUUUUCUGGUCUAUGGUAUUAAAAAUGAUUGCCCUGUUGCCAGGUGGAUCGAAUGGCGUUUGUUGUCGUCGUCGCCGGCUGCUUAAACUGAAAUGGCAUAAAAACGUUUCAGGUACUAAAACUGUGUGGGUGGAGAUUAAACUUCUAACUGCCAACUGAGUGCCCUUGGUUAUGCUUGAGAGGGUUUACAUAUUGCCUCUCGUCUUAUUUUCCCUUUAAGAUUUCUCAAAUUAACCAAUUGUUGAGCAGGGGAAAAAGAGAGAUGUUAUGGCAAUAGCGGACUUUACAAUUAUGGCGCCGAUUCUUAUGUGAUUUCUUUGAAGAGACCUGUACCGGAAGUCAACGAUAUCUGUUGAUCUUUUGUUGAAUUUUACACCCAUAUCCUACACAAGUAUCUACUGGGAUUCAGGGUGCAGAUUAGACAGCGAUUGUUAUGUAUUCAAAAUGCAAAGAAACGCGAUGGAAUAUCAAAGAGAUCAA